rnacentral:tRNA from 1 species
GGUGGCUCAAUGGUAGAGUGCUUGCUUCACAUGCAUGAGGGCCUGGGUUUGAUCCUUAGCACCA